rnacentral:rRNA from 1 species
AUUGAACGCUGGCGGCAUGCUUUACACAUGCAAGUCGGACGGCAGCACAGAGAAGCUUGCUUCUUGGGUGGCGAGUGGCGAACGGGUGAGUAAUAUAUCGGAACGUACCGAGUAAUGGGGGAUAACUAAUCGAAAGAUUAGCUAAUACCGCAUAUUCUCUGAGGAGGAAAGCAGGGGACCUUCGGGCCUUGCGUUAUUCGAGCGGCCGAUAUCUGAUUAGCUAGUUGGUGGGGUAAAGGCCUACCAAGGCGACGAUCAGUAGCGGGUCUGAGAGGAUGAUCGGCCACACGGGAACUGAGACACGGCCCAGACUCCUACGGGAGGCAGCAGUGGGGAAUUUUGGGCAAUGGGCGCAAGCCUGAUCCAGCCAUGCCGCGUGUCUGAAGAAGGCCUUCGGGUUGUAAAGGACGUUUGUCAGGGAAGAAAAGGCUGUUGCUAAUAUCGACAGCUGAUGACGGUACCGGAAGAAUAAGCACCGGCUAACUACGUG